GGGCUUGUACCCUUCUUUGUUGUUGUAGGUACCAUAGUCAUCACCAUAUCCAUUAUUACGAACAGGACUACCAGUGGGCUUGGGCUUGUACCCAUCUUUGUUGUUGUAGUUACCAUAGUCAGCACCAAAUCCAUCAUUAUAAACGGGGAUCACAGUGGGCUUGUACCCCUGUUUGUUGUUGUGGUCUCCAUAGUCAGCACCAUAACCAUCACUAUAAACGGGAGAGCCACUGGGCUUGGGCUUGGGCUUGUACCCUUGUUUGUUACUGUAGUCUCCAUAGUCAGCACCAUGUCCAUCAUUAUAAACCGGAGUGAAACUGGGCUUGGGCUUAUAGUCUCCAUAGUCAGCACCAUAUCCAUCAUUAUAAACGGGAGAGCCGCUGGGCUUGGGUUUGGGCUUGUACCCUUGUUUGUUGUUAUAGUCUCCAUAGUCAGCACCAUAUCCAUCAUUAUAAACCGGAGUGGUAGUGGGCUUGGGCUUAUAGUCUCCAUAGGCAGCACCAUAUCCAUCAUUAUAAACCGGAGUGGAAGUGGGCUUGGGCUUAUAGUCUCCAUAGUCAGCACCAUAUCCAUCUUUAUAAACGGGAGAGCCAGUGGGCCUGGGCUUGUAACCUUCUUUGUUGUUGUAGUCUCCAUAGUCAGCACCAUGUCCAUUAUUAUAAACGGGAGAGCCACUGGGUCUGGGCUUGUACCCUUCUUUGUUGUUGUAG
rnacentral:lncRNA from 1 species